CGUUUGCCCCCCCCCCCCCCCCCCCCCUCAUGGAUACCACCCAUCCUUCUUCAGCUAGCUACCCAUCGGAGCAUUCAGUAGUUUUGAUUGACAACGGUUUCUGAAUUUCUGUUCGUCUACGGAUUUUCCAUUUUGUCCACUUCGGUAAAUACAGUACAUGAUGCGAAAUCCCUGGCAGUUGUAGUUCCUGGUUCUGAUUGGGCCAGAACCUGGCAAAAGUGAGUGGAACUGAUGUUGUUCGCAGAGAAGGAUUAGGAUUAGCAUAGCACGAUUAUCAUAGCCCCCUUGAUUUAUUUUCGUCCGGAGUGGUACAACAGUGCACUGCGCUUCAAGAUAACAAGGACAACAGGUUUCACGACACUCAUUUGUCUAUGAUUUCCUCACCAAAUCUAAAAUUAAUUAGCCCCUAAAUUCUAAUCCCUCGUGAGCAAGCCGCCCCUUCCUCUACCCCCACCAAUGUCAACUUCUGAAUCAAGCUGAAAGUCCAGGUCACUCCCUUAAUUUUAGGUAGAGAUAUGUUCUGCUAGAUGUGUGUGAAUCCCUCUAUUAUUCCAGUAGGGUAAUCAUUCUUAUUUGACCAUUUAAGUGAACAAUAUCUAAUAUUUGAUACUUAGUUAAGUGAGGUUGUGAAACAUGUCAAAUCUUGCAGAGAAGAUAAAGUUACUGCAUGGUACCAAGGACGGGUGUGCACUCCUUUACUGUUGUGUUUUUCAUUUGAGUGUCAACACUAGGUUUAUGGCUGAUCGUCAUGCUUUAGCCGAGGAACGGAUGGAGUUACCAAGAAAAAAAGGAGGAAGUCCGUCACCUGAACAUGAUCAUUGAAGAGAUUAAUGACAAUAAUGGAGCUUAUAUCAACAAGCUCGUUGACAAGAAAGGAAGCUUCAAGCUGAACUUAGAUCAAAUGAGUCUUUGAGAGAUGAGGUUGUGCAUCUAUGUGCUGAAAUCGAGAAGCUCCACGCCGUUAGGAAAGAACUCUCUGCAAAGGUUGCAUCACUCAUGCAUGAGCUUAGUAGGGACAAAUCACAUAGAUGACAGGAACUUACAUAUGCAAGGUACACACCUCGACACACAGUCUCUUUUGCAGGACCAGACUCUCAAGUAUCCCGGUAAAUCUGUUGAAUGGAAACUUUGAAUAUCAUUGGUUUGUAUAAUUCUAUUUAUUUGCAAGAAUGCGUGUGAAUUAGAGCAUGCAUAAGUGGAAUUUUGAGUUGGUGGAACAAGUGAAAGUAAUGGAAAAGAAUAUGAUUUUGA